GAUGAACGCUGGCGGCGUGCCUAAUACAUGCAAGUCGAGCGGAGAAUUUAGCAAUAGAUUCUUAGCGGCGAACGGGUGAGUAACGCGUUGGUGACCUGCCUCGAAGUUUGGGAUAACAGUUCGAAAGGACUGCUAAUACCGGAUGUGAUCGCGGAGAUUAGAGGCUCUGUGAUUAAAGGAGAAAUUCGCUUCGAGAGGGGCCUGCGUCCAUCAGCUAGUUGGUAAGGUAAAGGCUUACCAAGGCGAUGACGGGUAGGGGACCUGAGAGGGUGG
rnacentral:rRNA from 1 species